GUGGAGGAGGAGGAGGUGGAGGAGGGGGUCACGUGAUGGGCCGAGAAAGUCCGAGGGAAGAAAUGAUGAAAAAAAAAAUAAAGAGAAAAAUGAUGAAAAUGUUGAGAGUAAAAGCUGAAAAUAUGAGGUCAAGUUAGGUCAGGUCAGGUCAUGUUGAGAGAGAGUACAGGCAUUGAUUUAAAUGAGAGAAGAACUUAGAGAAACGUUGAAAAAUGCUGGAAAUCAAGAGAAAUGAUGGAAAAAAAAUGAGAAAAAUCCUGAAAAUGUUGAGUAAAAGCCGAAAAUGUCCAUAAAUGUUGCGAGAGUACGAGUUUUGAUUUAAAUGAGGAAAGAAUUUAAAGAAACGUUGAAAAAAAUGCCAGAAAUUAAGAAACGGGAAAAAAAACUGAGUUAGUCAAGAAUGCAUUUAGACAACACAAGCUAUAUUUCAGCCUCCCUACAACACACACAACACACAACACAACACACAGAAGCGAUGGUAGGUUAGGAGAGAAGGAGGAGGAGGAGGAGGAGGAAGAGGGGAAGGAAGAGAAAUGGAAGGUUAAGGAAGGAGGAGGAGGAGGGAGAGGAAGAAAUAGGAGGAGGAGGAGGAGGAGGAGGGGAAGGAAGAGAAAUGGAAAGUUAAGGAAGGAGGAGGAGGAGGGAGAGGAAGAAAUAGGAGGAGGAGGAGGAGGGGAAGGAAGAGAAAUGGAAAGUUAAGGAAGGAGGAGGAGGAGGGAGAGGAAGAAAUAGGAGGAGGAGGAGGAAGAGGAAAGAUAGGAGGAAGAGAAAGAAUGUUGACAAAAAACUUGAAAAAAAUAGUUAAAAUUAUGGAAAUACUGACUUAACUAUAGAACACAUCACUACAACACACACAACACAACAGCUCAACACA